rnacentral:rRNA from 1 species
CUACGGAGGGAGCAAGCGUUAUUCGGAAUCGCUGGGCGUAAAGGACGCGUAGGCGGGUUUGUAAGUCAGGUGUGAAAUCCUACAGCUCAACUGUAGAACUGCACUUGAAACUACAGACCUAGAGUAUGGAAGGGGCAGAUGGAAUUAGUGGUGUAGGGGUAAAAUCCGUAGAUAUCACUAGGAAUACCGAAAGCGAAGGCGAUCUGCUGGGACAUUACUGACGCUGAGGCGUGAAAGCGUGGGGAGCAAACAGGAUUAGAAACCCUAGUAGUCC